GUGAAUCAUCAAAUUUUUGAACGCAAAUUGCGCUUCCUGGUAUCCCGGGAAGUAUGCCUGUUUGAGGGUCAGUAUUAACAAAAAAUCGGUUUGGUUGCAAAUUGUGACGUUUCCGGAGUUUGGGCUAUCUUAACUUUUUUGGUUAAGGGGCUUAAAAUUGACCUAUUUGGGGAUUUUUUGGAGUACCUUAAUUUUUUUUUUAUUGUUUAAUCUUAAUGCCCAAAAUUUAUUUGGUUGGAAU
rnacentral:misc_RNA from 1 species